AUGUAUAUAUUUACGUGCUGCAUGAUUUUGACGUGGUUAAUCAUUAAUGCCGUGCACGUGAACUUUCGAGUCUCUCAAACACUGGAGCGGCCGGCGCGCAGAGUUGCCAUGGAAACGGCGCGGGACCACUGCUACUGGUAAACAACAAAACUCCCUCUCUCGCUGUUGUUUCAACUUUUCACGGCUUUUUUCAGAACAAGUUUGUGACUGACUUAAUGAACCCAGUUGGUUUGGAUCAUGCUCAGAGAUGUAAGGGUUACAAAAAGUUAACCAGAACUCUUAUGAACUCCAUCUUGUCUUUCAAAGAGAUGGCAACAUGAACGGAAAAAAAGGGGUUGUUGGUGAAAAAAGAGCCUUGACCUACAAAAGGUGCAGCUAAUAAUUGACUAUGUCAAAAAGAGGCACCCAGGCAUCGGAGGCACUGAGAUCAAGGUCUGCAUGGCACAAAAGUUAAGAGAUCUGAGGAGACGAGCAGAAAGAUGACUGUGGUGAAGAUGGAUGAAGAUGGAUGAGGCUUUCAAGUGCAGGAUCUACAAUUGUUUUCGUUUCACCUUUUCGUUUUGCCUGUUUUGAAUGUGAUGCACAGCCUAAGCCUA